UAACGGUUACAAUUGCCAAUCUUCUUUCCCCUCCCUGUUCCCACUUCUUCAUCCCUUUUUCACAAAAGCCAUCGAAAGGGAGAAAAACGAGAUCAAAAGCUUGGCUAUUCUUUGAUUUAGGGUUCGCAAUCUUCAAAUUUUUGGAAGAAAUUGCUGAUAUGAACAAUUAAGCUGCUCCCUUCUGCUUUGUUCGAGGUUACAUGAUCGGUGGGAUGUCUAGCGUAAGUUGCUCGGAGAAGCUUUGGCGAUGAUGAUUUCGCUGUGCUUUGAAUCUAGCAAAUUGAAGGACAAAAAAGAAGAAAAAGAAAUCAAUAAGGUUCCUUUAGGGUCAAGUGAUCCAGGAAACAGCCUGAGGCAUUUUCAACAUCAACUAGAAUUAAAUGAAACGAAGGGUGGAAGUUUGCCAUUGCAUGCUACUACUAUAAUGCCAUCCCCAAUUUUUUUCUGGAGAUUCAAGGUACUCCUGUUUGUAAUCUGGGGCUUCGGUUGUUGCAAGAUCGGUUGUGAUUCUGUCAUGAGAAUGAGUGCUGAUUUGCGGGAUCUAUUUCUAUAUGAGGCUUUUUUGUAUUAUAAUCCUCUUCUUCUUGUAACCAUGAUGGUGUGGCUUUGGGGAGUAAAUCUAUGGGUGUUUGCUCAGUCCACUAUCAAUUAUGCCAAAAUAUUUGAUCUUUCCCAGGAUUAUCUUACGCAUAGAGAAAUAUGGAAGUGUGCCACUUGGAUGACAAUCAUUGUGCCAACAAGCAUGACAGCUUACCUUUAUCUUUAUUCUCAUGGAGAAGUAUCAUUGGCCGCAUCACAACCAGUACUCUUGUAUGCUUCUGUCAUAAUGAUUUUCGUAUUUCCUUUUGAAAUCAUUUAUCUAUCAUCUCGCUACUACUUUUUAAGGACGCUUUGGAGGAUAAUACUUCCUGUGCAGGUGAUAACAUUUUCUGACUUUUUUGUGGCUGAUAUUCUAACCUCUAUGGCAAAGUUGCUGACAGGAUUUCAAGCUAGUGUUAUGCCGCAACCUCUAAGACCAUUGUCAGGAGCAAGGGGGAACCCCUUCUCAAAGAGAAGACAUUUGUCCUUGUCUCAAUCUACAUUCAAUCAAUGUUCCUCUGAUCCGUUGAUGAUUUCGAGUCUCAAACUUUGUCUUUCGUUUCCAAUGUGGAUCAGAAGUGGAUUUAGAAAACAAAGAUCGCAUCAAAUUGGGAUCUGAAUGUGGUGGUGGUACAUGGCCUAACAAAACUCAUGAACUAGCGGCUGCUUUAUGAAUGUCUAACUAUUAUUACUACUAUAAGGUUAAAACAGUGUAAUAUAGCAAAGGAAAUCCUAUAGUUACUUGUGGCUGUAUAGGAAGCUGUACCAGGAAAAUAUAUGUUUGGACCUCUUCUAUCCCAAGAAUUUUUUCUUACCUUUUUAGCUGCGGAGAUGCUCUUUGUUUCAUGCAAAGAAUGCUUCUGACCCUUAUAGCAAUUUUUGAACAUUUGUUAGCUCAUACUGGUACAUGUUCGCCGCAUAUUAUUAUUAGGUGAUUUAAAAAAAUGAAACAAUCAUUCUUAUUCAGUUAUUAUGUCUUAACUAUUUAAUCUUCAGUGCCUUGCAGAUUUCAAACCCAUCCAUUAUGACAUAUAUUGGCAUUUCUUUGGAGUUAAGAUUAGUAUUUUAAUUCUUUCAUUGUGUUUGGUUGAUUCAUACGGAUAUAACUAAGCUGAUGCCUCAUUUUGUGGCAGGCACCUCAUUAUGUCUGAUUCGAUCCUAAAACCAUGCUCAUUGCAAAAAAAAAAGGCCUCUUAAUUCUUUACAUAAAUAUCUCUUAUUGAACUUUUCUUCACUGCCUAAGAAGCAGUGGCAUUUUAUGUUCUACUUUGGAAAUAUAAAGACUUAAUUCUGACGUUGGUGUGUUGUCUUUGACCAUCUGUUCUUUUCACUCACAUGGUAUUGCUUGUAAUUGAUAAUAAUGUUCAGGUGCUUUCCGAUUUAGAGCGUUCAGUCUGUCGAAUGGUCCAUCGACAGGAAUUUAGCCUAUCCACCACAAGAUUUUAGAAGGCUGUGUGGGGACCAAGACUCCAAGUGGAGAGCCUGUGGAAGGAAGGUUGGCAAUCUUCUGGAGAACU